rnacentral:rRNA from 1 species
CGCAUCUGUGCAUGCAGCAUAUCAAUAAGCGGAGGAAAAGAAACUAACAAGGAUUCCCCUAGUAACGGCGAGUGAAGCGGGAAGAGCUCAAAUUUGAAAUCUUAAAGGGUUUCCCUUUACGAAUUGUAGUUUAAAGAAGUGUUUUCUGUUGAGGUUUUGGUAAAAGUUCUUUGGAAUAGGACAUCAUAGAGGGUGAGAAUCCCGUAUUUGACCUUUACUUUCAACUUUGUGAUACACUUUCAAAGAGUCGGAUUGUUUGGGAAUGCAGUCCAAAAUGGGUGGUAAAUUUCAUCUAAAGCUAAAUAUUGGCGAGAGACCGAUAGCGAACAAGUACCGUGAGGGAAAGAUGAAAAGAACUUUGAAAAGAGAGUUAAACAGUACGUGAAAUUGUCAAAAGGGAAGCGUUUGACACCAGUGUUGUUUUUCUGAAAAUCGAUUAAAGAACUGUUUAUGCUAAGUUGUUUAGACUUUAUCAGCUAACUGUUUAGUUUUGAGCUUUUCUUUAAUGCACUUUUCAGUUAACAAGUCAACAUCAAUUUCUUUUGCUGUAAAAAAGCUUGAGGAAGGUGGCUUGAGAUUCGUCUUAGGUGUUUAUAGCCUCUUGCCUAUGCAGUCGGAGAGAUUGAGGUCUGCAGCGUAGAUCCUUCGGGGCUAAAUGCAUUUGUGCUAAGUUAUAGCAUUUUAUAGACAACUUGUUGACUAUGAUUUGUCUUGUAGCUUACUCGCUUAUGUUAUUUUACCUACGCUUAGGAUGUUGACAGCAGUAUAGACUGU